rnacentral:rRNA from 1 species
ACCUUCGGGUCUAGUGGCGCACGGGUGCGUAACGCGUGGGAAUCUGCCCUUUACUACGGAAUAACUCAGAGAAAUUUGUGCUAAUACCGUAUAAUGUCGGAAGACCAAAGAUUUAUCGGCAAAGGAUGAGCCCGCGUAAGAUUAGCUUGUUGGUGGGGUAAAGGCCUACCAAGGCGACGAUCUUUAGCUGGUCUGAGAGGAUGAUCAGCCACACUGGGACUGAGACACGGCCCAG